UACGGAGGGGGCGAGCGUUAUUCGGAAUUAUUGGGCGUAAAGGGCGCGUAGGCGGCUUCAUAAGUCAAAGGUGAAAUCCCCCGGCUCAACUGGGGAACUGCAAGGGAUACAGCGGGGCUUGAGUUCGGGAGAGGGAAGCGGAAUUCCGGGUGUAGCGGUGAAAUGCGUAGAUAUUGGGAGGAACACCAGUGGCGAAGGCGGCUCACUGGACCGGAACUGACGCUGAGGCGCGAAAGCGUGGGGAGCAAACAGG
rnacentral:rRNA from 1 species